rnacentral:rRNA from 1 species
ACCGGCGCACGGGUGCGUAACGCGUAUGCAAUCUGCCUUAUACAGAGGGAUAGCCCAGAGAAAUUUGGAUUAAUACCUCAUAGUAUUACGACUUGGCAUCAAGAUGUAAUUAAAGUUCCAACGGUAUAAGAUGAGCAUGCGUCCCAUUAGCUAGUUGGUGUGGUAACGGCACACCAAGGCAACGAUGGGUAGGGGUCCUGAGAGGGAGAUCCCCCACACUGGUACUGAGACACGGACCAGACUCCUACGGGAGGCAGCAGUGAGGAAUAUUGGUCAAUGGGCGCAAGCCUGAACCAGCCAUGCCGCGUGCAGGAUGACGGUCCUAUGGAUUGUAAACUGCUUUUGUACAGGAAGAAACACUCCCUCGUGAGGGAGCUUGACGGUACUGUAAGAAUAAGGAUCGGCUAACUCCGUGCCAGCAGCCGCGGUAAUACGGAGGAUCCAAGCGUUAUCCGGAAUCAUUGGGUUUAAAGGGUCCGUAGGCGGUUUUAUAAGUCAGUGGUGAAAUCUGGUCGCUCAACGAUCAAACGGCCAUUGAUACUGUAAGACUUGAAUUACUUGGAAGUAACUAGAAUAUGUAGUGUAGCGGUGAAAUGCUUAGAGAUUACAUGGAAUACCAAUUGCGAAGGCAGGUUACUACAAGUAUAUUGACGCUGAUGGACGAAAGCGUGGGGAGCGAACAGGAUUAGAUACCCUGGUAGUCCACGCCGUAAACGAUGGAUACUAGC